AGUUCCCUGGGUUGUUUGCCAGUCGAUAUGUCCUCGACCCUUUAUGCGAUAACCAGGAGGUCUUUUAUAUAGGUUAGUGUGCAUGUCCGCGCAAGCGGGAAGCCUUACACCUGAUAGAGACCACCGCCUUGAACCGCUGGGUUCAAGGGCCUAUCCGGCAGCGGCAAUUUGGGGGGCUG
rnacentral:other from 1 species